ensembl:lncRNA
AUGCAUAAAUAACACAGCAGAUCUUAAUUUUUAGUAUUUGACCUUUCAUCCAUUUAUGUCCGUUAUGUUUAAACCUGUAUAAACCUUGUUUAUUGAUCGACCAGGAUUUCUCCAUGAUGUUUGCUGAUGAAGUGUCUCAGAAGUUCCUGGCAAAGUCGUCAACAUUCUUCAAGUCAAAAAUCAUUGCAGACUGCAAGACUCUUAAGAAUAUGGGCGAGCUGCUGUCAGGAACUGAACCUGAAUCUGAGGACUACGAUGGUCAAUAUAAACUGUUUUGUAUUUUAAAAAUGUUCCAGUCUUUAAAAAAAUUAUCAAAAAGAGAUCAUUUAAUUAUUUUGUGAUGUCUUUACGAUGGGACAGCGACAUGUCCUCAAUCCUUUUGCUGCUGCAUCUGCUCCCUCUAACCUCAAGAGGCCAGAAAAAAAACAUCCAAGAUCAGUUCAGCUCAAGCAACCAGCCAUCUUGUGAGAUAUCUUAAGGAAGGAGCCAGUGUGACUACCUUCACUGAGAGUGCUGACACAAGACAACCAUUCCUCCUCUGCAUCGGUGAGUGAAAGAAGGACAUCCAGAAGUUCUACGUUAUUAUCGACCCAAAACCGAUCCCAUGUAAGGCGCACACAUCAGUGGCAGCUUUUGAUGAACUGUUCAAAGUUCACUAUGUCUUCAGUCUCUCAUAUGAUGAAGCUCUUUGUUAUUUUUACACAUUGAUCCAAACCACCAUCUAUAACAUCGAUGUCAGAAGAGCAAAGUAGAGCCCGCGUGUUAAAGAACUUCGAGCACGAUUGCUGCAGCGAGAUUAACAGCCUUGAAGAUGUUCACGUGUUUUGUAUGUAAAGCGCACCUCAGAACUUGUUUGGUUCUUCGUCAACAUUUAAAAUUUCAACAUGGAUUAUAUCCUAGCAAAAAGUUAUGUUUAAAAUGUAGAGAGCCAGGUCGCCCGUUAUCAUUUUGUACUUAUAGUGGCUUCCGAAAACAUCUCGGCAAGAUACACAGUCACACUAUGGAUCAAGAGAUUGAUACUAAUCAGGAUCUUUCCACUCAGGGAGAAUAUGAGGCGGAAUGUUCAAACGAUCGCCCAAAUUCUGUUGCCACUUUACAUCCUUCACAAAGUUCCAGUUCUUAAAACUGUUACUCCUGACAGUACAAGUUCAGACACUUGUAGAAGAGUAGAACACUGUUUUGAUCAAUUAUGUAAUCCUUUUU